AAAAUGGAGAGUUUGAUCCUGGCUCAGGAUGAACGCUGGCGGUAUGCUUAACACAUGCAAGUCGAACGGUCUUUUAGGAGACAGUGGCGGACGGGUGAGUAACGCGUAAGAAUCUACCUUCAGGUUGGGGACAACCACUGGAAACGGUGGCUAAUACCGAAUGUGCCGGGUGGUGAAAGUCUUCCUGCCUGAAGAAGUGCUUGCUUCUGAGUUGCUAGUUGGUAGUGUAAGUAGCUACCAAGGCGACGAUCAGUAGCUGGUCUGAGAGGAUGAUCAGCGACUCUGUGACUGAGACACGUCCCAGACUCCUACGGGAGGCAGCAGUGGGGAAUUUUCCGGAAUGGGCGAAAGCCUGACGGAGCAAUACCGCGUGAGGGAGGAAGGCUCUUGGGUUGUAAACCUCUUUUCUCAGGGAAGAACAGAAUGACGGUACCUGAGGAAUAAGCAUCGGCUAACUCCGUGCCAGCAGCCGCGGUAAUACGGAGGAUGCAAGCGUUAUCCGGAAUGAUUGGGCGUAAAGGGUCCGCAGGUGGCAUUGUAAGUCUGCUGUUAAAGAGUUUGGCUCAACCAAAUAAGAGCAGUGGAAACUACAAAGCUAGAGUGUGGUCGGGGCAGAGGGAAUUCCUGGUGUAGCGGUGAAAUGCGUAGAUAUCAGGAAGAACACCAGUGGCGAAGGCGCUCUGCUAGGCCGAGACUGACACUGAGGGACGAAAGCUAGGGGAGCGAAUGGGAUUAGAUACCCCAGUAGUCCUAGCCGUAA
rnacentral:rRNA from 1 species